UACGUAGGGUGCAAGCGUUAAUCGGAAUUACUGGGCGUAAAGCGUGCGCAGGCGGUUCGCUAAGACAGAUGUGAAAUCCCCGGGCUUAACCUGGGAACUGCAUUUGUGACUGGCGGGCUAGAGUAUGGCAGAGGGGGGUAGAAUUCCACGUGUAGCAGUGAAAUGCGUAGAGAUGUGGAAGAACACCGGUGGCGAAGGCGGUCUGCUGGGGUCGAACUGACGCUGAUGCGCGACAGCGUGGGGAGCAAACAGG
rnacentral:rRNA from 1 species